GCAAAAGACAUAAUUUCAUUUUCCUUAUGUAUUAAUAAAACUCCAUUGUGUGUAUGUAUAUAUACCACGUUUUCUUUACCCAUUUAUUUAUUGAUGGACACCUAGGCUGCAGGUUCAAUAGUUGUUAAAUUAAGAAGGGAGUCUGGGUUGGUGAGAUUGCCAGUCACACACACAGCAGUUAGACAUGACUUCCUUUCCUGUUCUGGGGCAGCAGCAGCUUGGAGCUCAGUAGUACCUCCCUCACCCUGUCAGCCUGCCCACCCAGUACAGAGCCCUGAAGUCAAAGAAGAAUUUCUUCUGAAGGAAUAAGGCAAACAUGGUGCUGCCCAGACUGCUGAAACUGGUCAUGGUGUCCAUGUGGCUGGGAUCCAGUUUUGCCCAGAAGGUGACUCAAGCCCAGCCAGCCAUGUGGGUGCAGGAGAAGGAAGCUGUGAGCCUGCUCUGCUCCUAUGACACCAGUGCUGGAAGUUAUGAUCUCCUCUGGUACAAGCAGCCCAGCAGUGGGGAGAUGGUCUUCCUCAUCCUUCAGAACUCUUACAGCCAGCAAAAUGCCACAAAAGGUCGCUACUCAGUGAAUUUGCAGAAGGCAAGCAAAUCCAUCCAGCUUGUCAUCUCAGCCUCACAGCUGGGGGACUCAGCGGUGUAUUUCUGUGCACUGAGAGAUAGAUAG